rnacentral:rRNA from 1 species
UAGGGAAUCUUCGGCAAUGGACGAAAGUCUGACCGAGCAACGCCGCGUGAGUGAAGAAGGUUUUCGGUUCGUAAAACUCUGUUGUCAGAGAAGAACAAGGACGUUAGUAACUGAACGUCCCCUGACGGUAUCUAACCAGAAAGCCACGGCUAACUACGUGCCUGCAGCCGCGGUAAUACGUAGGUGGCAAGCGUUGUCCGGAUUUAUUGGGCGUAAAGCGAGCGCGGGCGGUUUCUUAAGUCUGGUGUGAAAGCCCCCGGCUCAACCGGGGAGGGUCAUUGGAAACUGGGAGACUUGAGGGCAGAAGAGGAGGGUGGAAUUCGAUGUGUGGCGGUGAAAUGCGUAGAUAUAUGGAGGAACACCAGUGGCGAAGGCGGCUCUCUGGUCUGUAACUGACACUGAGGCUCGAAAGCGUGGGGAGCAAACAGG